rnacentral:rRNA from 1 species
AUUGAACGCUGGCGGCAUGCCUUACACAUGCAAGUCGAACGGCAGCACGGGAGCAAUCCUGGUGGCGAGUGGCGAACGGGUGAGUAAAGUAUCGGAACGUGCCCAGUCGUGGGGGAUAACGUAGCGAAUGUUACGCUAAUACCGCAUACGAUCUAUGGAUGAAAGCGGGGGAUCGCAAGACCUCGCGCGAUUGGAGCGGCCGAUAUCAGAUUAGGGAGUUGGUGGGGUAAAGGCUCACCAAGCCGACGAUCUGUAGCUGGUCUGAGAGGACGACCAGCCACACUGGGACUGAGACACGGCCCAGACUCCUACGGGAGGCAGCAGUGGGGAAUUUUAGACAAUGGGCGAAAGCCUGAUCCAGCCAUGCCGCGUGCAGGAUGAAGGCCUUCGGGUUGUAAACUGCUUUUGUACGGAACGAAAAGGUUUGGCCUAAUAAGCUGAGCUCAUGACGGUACCGUAAGAAUAAGCACCGGCUAACUACGUGCCAGCAGCCGCCGUAA